CUUAAGGUCCCUACAGCCGCCGCCACACAGUUGGGUUUUGAUUAGAUCAAGUUUAGCCUUCGCUACUUGCUUGUAAAUGCGCGUGCUGAUCCAGCUACCCGUCUUCUUGUUUUUGGAACCCCACUUCAUUAGAGAUUGAGUUUGAAACCUUUGUUUACAUCUAGUAAUUCAGUACUUGUUCUACUGGUUCUUGCUGGUUCUUUGAUUGCUUGCAGGAUGAGUGCCUUAGUGGCUGGUUGUCGCGCUCCAUAAGAUCGUGACAGCCAUUGGAGGUGGUGUAUCGGUUGCUAAAGCGUGGCCUUGGAGGGCUGUAGUCGGACCGUGAACGUCAACUCCUUUCACCAAUCGAGUUACCCAGCACCUGUCAUCGAAAGAUUGGGCGGAAACCCUAGCGGGUUCUUAUCAGCUGGUAAUCAGAGCAAGGUUUAUCGGUGAGAGACUUUCAAUUCUUUACUGUUUUACUUUUCCCAUAGUUCCAAUAAAAAGCCUAAAACAGUAGUAGAUUAGGUUUUCCAUAGUCCUAUAAACACUUUGAGCCUUGGCUAGUACUACUUAGUUAGGGCUUGUUGUGUUUGAUUUACUUCGGUUGAGUCAAGUUGCUGGUCUUAGGGUUAGGCUUUUAGAGUUUCGAGUUCUUGUCACGUUUUGGUCCCAUCCAUCAUUUUCAUCUCGCAGUCAUCACCACCACCAUAUAUUACAUAUCCACUACACCAUAUUUAUCUCAAUUGUAAUCUUUACUGCCAUAUUUUUUCUUUGUUACACCAUAUCCACCAUUACUCCUUGAAAAGAAACAAAAAUACUUUGUAAGUUGUUUCUAUUUGAAAUCUGAUUUGUCAAGAUUCAGAUUUGUCCUAGUUUUGCAAAGUAAAGGAAAAGAAGAAGAAAGAGUAGAAAGAAGAGAAAAGAAAAGAAGAGAACAAAAAGAAAAAGAAAAGGAAAAGAAAGAAAAUAAGAGAAAACAAAAAGAAAAGGGGAGUAAUAGGUUGCUGUUGCUAUUCUUGUGCUAUUUCCAACUAUACAGUGACUCCGUUUGUGUCUAGGCUCGCGUCUCUAGCACGGUCUAGCCUAGGACCAGCACGGUACUACCAUCGAAUGAUUUCUCAACUUUUUUUUGUAAUUAACGUGGUGCUAGUUGUUCCUUGUUUUUAGCCCAGCUAUAGCUCCACAUAUUCUAUAGCUUGACAGGUCUUAUUG
rnacentral:lncRNA from 1 species